AUUGAACGCUGGCGGCAGGCCUAACACAUGCAAGUCGAGCGGAUGAAGGGAGCUUGCUCCUGGAUUCAGCGGCGGACGGGUGAGUAAUGCCUAGGAAUCUGCCUGGUAGUGGGGGAUAACGUCCGGAAACGGGCGCUAAUACCGCAUACGUCCUGAGGGAGAAAGUGGGGGAUCUUCGGACCUCACGCUAUCAGAUGAGCCUAGGUCGGAUUAGCUAGUUGGUGGGGUAAAGGCCUACCAAGGCGACGAUCCGUAACUGGUCUGAGAGGAUGAUCAGUCCCUUUGGGACUGAGACAAGGCCCAACCACCUACGGGCGGCCGCAGUUGGGAAGCUUCGGCAAUGUACGAAAGUGUAACCGAGCAACGGCGCGGGAGGGAAGAAGGUUUUCGGAUCGUAAAAUUCUGUUGGUAGAGAAGAACGUUGGUGAGAGUGGAAAGCUCCUCAAGUGGCGGUAACUACCCAGAAAGGGACGGCUAACUACGU
rnacentral:rRNA from 1 species